UGGCGGACGGGUGAGAAACACGUGGGCAACCUGCCUCACAAUGAGGGAUAGCCUUCCGAAAGGAAGAUUAAUACCUCAUAAUACAAAGAAAACGCAUGUUUUCUUUGCCAAAGAAUUUCGUUGUGAGAUGGGCCCGCGGCGCAUUAGCUUGUUGGUGAGGUAACGGCUCACCAAGGCUUCGAUGCGUAGCCGACCUGAGAGGGUGAUCGGCCACAUUGGAACUGAGACACGGUCCAGACUCCUACAGGAGGCAGCAGUGGGGAAUAUUGCACAAUGGAGGAAACUCUGAUGCAGCAACGCCGCGUGAGUGAUGAAGGUCUUCGGAUUGUAAAGCUCUGUCUUCUGGGACGAUAAUGACGGUACCAGAGGAGGAAGCCACGGCUAACUACGUGCCAGCAGCCGCGGUAAU
rnacentral:rRNA from 1 species